AAUCCUAUGUAUACCUAGCUGAAGGCAUUAGAUCCUGUCUGAACUUGGAAGCUAAUCAGAGUUAGUCUUGGUUAGUACUUGCAUGGAAGACCACCAGUGAAUCUCAGGUGCUGAGGCAAC
rnacentral:rRNA from 1 species